AAAUUGAAGAGUUUGAUCAUGGCUCAGAUUGAACGCUGGCGGCAGGCCUAACACAUGCAAGUCGAACGGUAACAGGAAGCAGCUUGCUGUUUCGCUGACGAGUGGCGGACGGGUGAGUGAUGUCUGGGAAACUGCCUGAUGG
rnacentral:rRNA from 1 species